rnacentral:lncRNA from 1 species
GUGGUUUUAAGUGGUUUUAAGGCACAGGGAGAGACCAAGGCAAGUUUUAGAGCAGGAGUGAGAGUUUAUUAAAAAGUUUUAGAGCAGGAACAAAAGGAAGUACACUACACUUGGGUCAGGCAGGCAACUUGAGAGAUCUAAGUGCCCUGCCUGACCCUUAACUUGGGGUUUUAUGUAUUUGGCAUAGUUCUGGGAUUUACGUCUCAUCUCCCCUGAUUCUUCCCUUGCAGCAGGCUGUCCGCGUAUGUGGUGACCUGCCAGCACUUGGAAGGGGUCGCAUGCACAGUGUGAUUACUGAAGUUGCGCGCAUGCUCACUUGAGGCAUUUUUCCCCUUACCAGUCGUGCGUUCCCAGAGGAAGGUAGGUCAUAUACUGGUUAAAUUCCGCCAUUUUGCCUCUUGGUGCGCAUGCUCCAGGCUGCUUGCCCAGCUCCUGAGAUCUUAUCGGGAAGCGGCUGAUCACCAGAUCAGGGUGUUUUGUAUCUAUUGAGAGACUGUCCUUGCUUGGAGCUGGCUGCAACCAAUUAUUAUUUUACAGAGACAGUUUAACAACCACCUGACCAUCACCUGAUGGUAGCCUGACAUUCCUGUGGGGGCCCUCACCUGUCCUGCUCAUGUUUGCCUAGCUCCCUACUCUAACAUUUCCACUCUGUGGACCCCAGGUUGAGAUCUUCUGCAGGGAAGACUGUCCUCAAAUAGCCUGCUGGGGAGACAUCUCCUUCCCGUUUACCUUUCCAUUUGCCCUUGCGGUGUUAGGCAAAGGCUGAAGCUGGCCUCUGUGGCAGAGGGUUUCUUCCCAACACGCCAAUGACGCUGGUGGAGAGUCUUAAAAACAGCUGUGCUGGGGAGAGUUCUUGGUGUGUACCUUUCAGAGACCUCCUCCUUAAGACUCUCAAAGACUGAGUCAGGCCAGUGGGAGCCUGGCAGCAAUUCUUAGGGGACAGUGACAGCUUUUUGAGGAGGACUAAUUGGCUUCUAGGGCUGGAGGCCACUUGGGUCUGACAGACUGCCCUGCUGCCAUCCCUCCAGGGCACCCCCCACUCCCUUGCCUCAGGGCCUUCCUGCACUUCUUCCUUUUGUCCUCAAUGUUCUUCACCCCACCUUUUCCACUGGUACCCUCUGCCUAUGGUCAAGGCUUUGGUGAGACCCACUUUCCUCUUAGACCUUCCUGGAUCCCCCAAAGUCUGUGUUGGAAGCCCCUCCCAUGUGCCCUUGUUUGAGCUUUUAAUUUUCCACCAUGACGCUUGUCACACUGCUUUGUAAUUGGCUCUCUGUUAGUCUGCAUCUCUACUGGGUUGUACCUUCCAGGAGGACAGCUGCCAUGUGACUCUUGUAAUCUUCCCACCGCCAACACCCAGCACAGCGUCAGGAACACAGAGCAUGAUGAGCACAAGCUUGUUGAGCAAACAGACAAAUAACUGGAUGCUUCUGUGCAGAGUUUCUCAACCUGGCCAUUAUUGGCAUUUGGGACUUGAUCAUGCUUGGUCGUGGGAGACGGUUCUGUGCCUGUAGGAUGUUUAGGAGCAUGCUUGGUUUCUACCCACCAGAUGCCGGGAGCACACCCACCCAGCUGUGACAACCAAAAAUGUCUCCAGACACCAUUCCAAAACCAGCGGGAGACAAAAUCGCCCGACAGUCGUUGCUUUAGUGAGUGAAUGUUGACCUAAGCGUCACUUCGCCUGUCUUGAGUCUAGGUCGGGGAGUGGGUUCAGUUAGCCAAUCAGAGAACGCUGAUGGGGCGACCAGUAUAUGCUCAUGAAAUGGGUGGCUGACCUCUUGGGGUCAGAAGAGGGAAAAGUUUUACUGUGUGUUGGCUAAGGACCAUUUUAAGUCCUUCAGUGACCGAUUACCACAUGAGAACACAAGAGGGCGCUCUAACUAAUGAGUUCCGCGGCCGAGAAAACUCCUGGAGUGGGUGCUCCUGGGAUGCUUCAGGUUUAGACACCGGGGUUACGGCAGCUGCCGAGGAAGGCUAAAGCCAGCGUCCUGGAUUCAGACAGACCUUUUAGCCAUUAAAUCCACUAAGAAAGAUCCCUGCGCAUGAAGUUUCCUCCUCGGAAAUAUAGGCAGAAGGGAAAGUAAUUUUAAACUCAUGUGUGCUCCACAGGCCGGGGGCGGUGGCUCAUGCCUGCAAUCCCAGCACUUUGCGAGGCCAAGGAGGGAGGAUCACUUGAGCCCAGAAGUUCGAGACCAGCCUGGGCACCAUGGUGAAACCUCAUCUCUGCAAAAAAAAAAUUAAAAAUUAGCCAGCUAUGGCGGCUCACGCCUCUGGUCCCAGCUACCCAGGAAGCUGAGAUGGGAGGAUCGCUUGAGCCCAGGGGUUCGAGGCUGCGGUGAGCCAUUGUUGUGCCACUGCACUCCAGCCUGGGCAACAGAGCAAGCCCCUGUCUCAACAAAACAAAACAAAACAAAAAAUUCAGUCGUGCUGCAUAAGUAAGGCACCAGGAGUAGGAAUAGGGUCUUUGCAGCUCCCGUGGCAAUUGCCCUUCUCUGGUGGUGGCAAGGGACUAAGGAACUCCCUGGACACAGGGGAUCUGGCUGUCCCCAGAUCAUCAACAGAGACAUGAAGGUCGUUAGAGGUCGUCUGAUCCUUUGACCUCAAUCUGAGCCCACCACUCAGAAAACCUGGAAAUUGUAUGACAUUUUCGUGAUACAACUCGGUGUGUGUGUGUUGGGGAAAGGAACCAACAGCUUUCAUCAUAUUGUCAAAAGAGUCUAGGUCAAAUUUAUUUAAUACAACAUCCACGAGGGUCCCUGCAGCUGUGUCACUGAGGCAAACAGGAAAAGUGAUUUUGGCUAGGCGUGGUUCUCAUCUGUGAAAUUCCACAGCGCAAUGACAGCAGCCUCUCUCCCACCCACUCAAGACACUGUCAGGAAUGUCUUAAGACCUCAGGAGACCACUUCUUUAGCAAGCAAUUUUGUUUUUUGUUUUUUUUGAGAUGGAUUCUCACUCUGUCACUCAGGCUGGAGUGCAGUGGCGCGAUCUCCGCUCACUACAACCUCCGUUUCCUGGGUUCAAGCGAUAAUCUCACCUCAGCCUCUUGAGUAGCUGAUACUACAGGCAUGCGCCACCACGCCCGGCUAAUUCUUGUAUUUUUAGUAGAGACAGGGUUUCAUCAGGCUGGUCUCAAACUCCUGACCUCAGGUGAUCCGCCCACCUCAGCCUCCUGAAGUGCUGGGAUUACAGGCGUGAGCCACCUUGCCUGCCCUGGCAAGGAAUACAUUUUUAAAAAUUAGUAAGAAACAUACACAUUUCAAGUUUUCAAUUAAGAAUAAUAUUUGCUGAUGGCACCAUCUUCCUGUCUUUCAGCCUUCAGCAUGGUAGAGGAAAAGAGAAAGAGUGUAGACAAAAACAGUUGAAGAACAUCUGUGCUUGUUCCACCUUCAUUUUCUGUUUUGUGCGUUGCCUGAAUGAACGGUGUCUUCAGGUUGGUAUUUCACAGGCGGUGCUCCCAAGUAGUCUGGUUUUCCCAUUUGUGGAGGGCGAGGUCAUAGAGGGGACAGGGGGAGGCUGUCUGGUCAGCACUGUGUAUUUCCAAAGAACAAGGACUAGCCAAAACUACAAGCCUUUGAAGGACCAAAGGAAAAGAGAAAAAACCAGCCUCUAACCAGGCCAUGCGCUAGAAAUGAUUGAGUAUAAAAAAGAAAAUUGGUUUCUGUGUAUGAGGGUGCAUGGAAAAGGUCUUUAUCUCUGCACAAAACAAAAUAUUCAAGUUUCAGAAUAUCCCAAUGGCCUUGCCCUGGAUCUCCUCUUGUGCUCUUCCAAUUUCCAAGGAUGUUCCAACUUGGUGGAAGGAGGGUAUGUGGGAAAUUCAACAGCCCCUCUGUAUCUCUUUCUACCCAACAUUAACUUAGCAGGAUGGAUUUAAGAACCGGCAGCUUAGCCUGAGGAAUUGCUGUGUUCUGUGGGAGCAGGGCAGGUUCAUAAAUAAGUGCACAGAGGUCUUGAAAUACAGGGAUUAUCUGUUCUUCUCGGAACAUGGAUGUCCUUCCAGGGAUGUGCAUCUGGCCUUGCUGUCUAAGUUCCAUCAAGGGAGCCUUCCGUUCUCUGUAGCGACAAGAAACAAGGCAAGUUAUGAUCACACCUCUCAAGAUUGAAGAUUGCCCUGGUGGAGAGAAAUGCAAAAUGACAGCACUUCUCAAAGAAAAUGCAAAGCAGGGCUGUCACACACUGGUCCCCCACCCUGCAGGGUUCUCUCUGUGACUUCAGAGGCCCAAGGAGUCCUCAGCACUACAGAUACACGUGGCCCCUCAGAAGACAACAUUUCACAGAUCUGCAAAGAAUAAAGGUCAAAUUUACUUAAUACAACACCCACCAGGGUUCCUGCAGCUGUGUCACUGAGGCAAACAGGGAAAGUAAUUUUGGUUAGGUGUGGUUCUCACCUCUGAAAUUCCACAGCACAAUGACUGCAGCCUCUCUCCCACCCACUCAAGACAUUGUCAGGAACGUCUUAAGACCUCAGGAGACCACUUCUUUAGCAAGCAAUUUUUUUUAGAUGGAUUCUCACUCUGUCACUCAGGCUGGAGUGCAGUGGCGCGGUCUCUGCUCACUACACCCUCCCUCUCCUGGCUCCUGCCCGUAUGUAUUUCUCCUUCUCUCCAUGCCUGCUCUGUAGGGACCAUAGCCUCUGUCCCUGCAUACAUGUUGGACAUCAAUCACAUCAGUCCACCAAGUAACUUCAUCAAGCACCCAUGUACGCCCAGCACAGCGUCCCAAGGGUGCCCCACUUACCCACAGAAGAAGAAAGGCAACUUUGUAAGAGAUCUGACUUCUAGCUCCAGUUCUGUCUCUAGCUAACGUGAGAUGUACCCGUUUGAGGCCUGUUUUUUAAUUUUGAAAAUGAAGGACUGAACUUAGAUGGUCCAACUGAAAUGUUUUAAAAUGAUAUGAUUCUACCUUAAAAAGAGAAUGAAAUUCUGAUAUAUUUUCAACACAGGAAAACCUUGAAAACGUUAUGCUAAAUGAAAUAAGGCAGACAUGAAAGGACAAAUAUAUGAUUCCACUUAUGUGAUGUACCUCAAAUAGUCAAAUUCAUAGAGACAGAAAGUAGACAGUGGUUGCUAGGGGUUGCUGGAGGGGCAAUGGGGAGUUAGUGUUUAAUGGGUACAGUGUUUCAGUGGCUGCUCUGCCUAUGGAGUAGCCAUUCUUUUGUUUCUUUACUUCUCUAAUAAACUUGCUUUCACUUAAAAAGAAAAAGCUCUGGAGAUGGAUAGUGGUGGUGGUUGCACAGCAAUGUGAACGGACCUAAUGCAACUGAAUUAUACACUUUAAAAUGGUUAAGUAUACACUGGAAAAUGGUGAAUUUGCCGGGCGGGCGCAGUGGCUCACGCCUGUAAUCCCAACACUUUGGGAGGCCGAGGCGGGUG